UCUAGUUUAGAUAUCAAAGUGUUUAUUUUUAGGCCUAAUAAAUCUUGAAACUACAACCGAAAAGGGUAGUUACAAUAGUACAAAAUUAUUCUCUUUAGUCUUUAGUCUUUACUCUUUACUAACAAUAAGUUGCAAUUGACGUGGUGUCUUCUUCUUUCACAUGUCCAUUAAUUUCCUAUCUCCUACUUUUAGUAGGGAUAUUCUUUAUCUUUAGGUGAUAAAACUAUUUUUCUUUAUUAGAAUAUAUAUAAACGAAUGAAUUAAAUAUAGAACAAAGAUUUAAAUAUGAUUAAUUAAUAAAUAUCACAGAGAAUAGAAGAUGGUGAAAGGGGGGCGUGGCUACUGGCUAGGUGUUGGUUGGAGGAGAAUAAGAGAAGAGAAGGGAUGAGAAGAGAAUAAGAAUAUAAAGAGAGGAAAAAGAAAAGCGUGGAAACAGUGUGCUGUGAAUUCUCCCGUGAACUCAGUGUAAGAAAGAGGUCGGUGCCUCUAACUACGCUUAAUUGCUCAAUUACAUUUCUGUCCCUCCACCACCCACACGCUUACGGCUUACGCUUCUGUUUUGUGUGCAAAGCAAACACAAAUUCUAAAGAAAAGGAGGAGGAGAUGAAUUGUGUGAGGUGGUGAAUUUUGAGGUGUAAUGGCGAGGAGAGAGAGAGGUUUGUCUGCAUCUGCGGCGGAUGGAGGUGGUGGAAAAGCGGCGGAAUUGAAGGAGAAGCUGAGGGGGCUGGUGAAGGCCAUCGUGGAGAACGACGACUACACCACGCGCCACGCUGAAGACGCCAUCGCCACUCUAUCGA